CUUCUCCCCAAAGCCCCCCAGUACAUAGCUGUAUAUUCUGGCUGUGCGUGCCUGUGCCUCUGGUUGUCGAUUAUGUUAAUGUGUGACGUAGUAAAUAGAUGUGCUCCUUCCUGCUCCCACUGGCUGGCCCUACCCACCCCCGUCAGUCCUUGGCCUGCUUCUUAUUAGAUCCACUCCUCUCCCUGUCUAGUGAGUCGGACACUCACAGAUUGAGUCCUCAGCUCCCUGAGUCCCUGCUGAAUUCAACCAAUGAGAGGCACUGGCACAAGUCUGGAAGUCAGAAGGAAGCCAGAAGAAAAAAAUGUCUCUUCCACUCCUCCCUCUGCCGUGGCCAGCAUCUUCGACAGAAGCUGUGUGACCCUAUGGCUCCAGCUGCCCUAAGGUUAAAGGCAGAGCCUUGAAGAUACACAUCUGUGUGGGAACCAUCUCCUUCCUCUGAGCCCCUGCUACCUCCUGGAGUCCAAGUUUCUUCAGAUUUGACAGGCGGAAGGCUGCUGUGUUAUUAGGGAGAUACCUAAGGUAGGCUGGGCGCUCCAAGUGUGCUCCUCUGAUCCUCUGUAGCCCACCCACUCCAUCAAAUAUUAUAGGUAACUUCAGCACCACCAGGAGUCCAGUCAAACACUCUGCCACUUCUCUACAGCAGAUUGUAGCAAUACACCUUCUGUGACGCCGCACUACAGGUUUCUUCCAACCUCCUGGCAGCUCUCUCUUAGUCUCUUACCGACUCUUCGUUCUUUACCUGUCCCUUGGGUUGACUGGUGUUCCUUGAGGUUCCAUUCUAGACUUUCUUUUACUCCACUCAAUGCUCUUUCUACGAUUAUAUCUAUAGCCAUAACUCCAAUAACCAUUUCUAUACGGCAAGAUUGAAUCGCCAGUCCAUUUCUGUCAGCUCUAAAUUAAUAUUUCCAAUUGCAUACUGGAUCUCUUCACUUGAUGGCCUUGCAAGCACUUCAAAUUCAAUGUCCAAAACCAGACACACGAUUUUCCCCAAAGUAUCUUCGCACCCCAAAGUUUCUCUUACUCAGUAAAUGACACCACCAUCCACCUACAUGCUCAGGCCAAAAACCUGAGUCAUCCUUGAAUUCUCCAUUUCCCUCACUCUCCACAUCCAAGUCUUGCUGGAUAUACCUCCAAAAUAUGCCCUCGAAUCCAUCCACUUCUCCACUGCCUCUACCCUAUGUAGUCC
rnacentral:lncRNA from 1 species